UCUGGCAAUGAUGACCCACUUGCCCUCACUGAGAACAAAGUUCGGUAAUGAGAGUCUUCGUUAUGGACUCAAGUUCUGAGCCAGA